rnacentral:rRNA from 1 species
CCUACGGGCGGCAGCAGUGAGGAAUAUUGGUCAAUGGACGAGAGUCUGAACCAGCCAAGUAGCGUGAAGGAUGACUGCCCUAUGGGUUGUAAACUUCUUUUAUAUGGGAAUAAAAUGUUCCACGUGUGGGAUUUUGUAUGUACCAUAUGAAUAAGGAUCGGCUAACUCCGUGCCAGCAGCCGCGGUAAUACGGAGGAUCCGAGCGUUAUCCGGAUUUAUUGGGUUUAAAGGGAGCGUAGGUGGAUUGUUAAGUCAGUUGUGAAAGUUUGCGGCUCAACCGUAAAAUUGCAGUUGAAACUGGCAGUCUUGAGUACAGUAGAGGUGGGCGGAAUUCGUGGUGUAGCGGUGAAAUGCUUAGAUAUCACGAAGAACUCCGAUUGCGAAGGCAGUUCACUGGACUGCAACUGACACUGAGGCUCGAAAGUGUGGGUAUCAAACAGGAUGAGAUACCCGAGUAGUC